rnacentral:rRNA from 1 species
UUAAUUGAAGAGUUUGAUCAUGGCUCAGAUUGAACGCUGGCGGCAGGCCUAACACAUGCAAGUCGAGCGGCAGCACAGAGGAACUUGUUCCUUGGGUGGCGAGCGGCGGACGGGUGAGUAAUGCCUGGGAAAUUGCCCGGUAGAGGGGGAUAACCAUUGGAAACGAUGGCUAAUACCG